CCAUUGGCUACUUCUCUUGCAUGCUUGAUCCUGUUGCCAGAGGCAGUCCCUCCUGCCUGCGGGCAGUGUUUGCUGCUAGUGCCCUCUUGGACAAAACUAAUGACUUCGUCCUUGGACAUUCCCUGACUGUCCUAGCUCCACAUGAUAUUUCUGCAAUUCUUCAACAGACCCAACCAAGGCAUCUCUCUUCUCAACGUCAUCUGCGGUUGCAAACUUCUUUAUUACUGCCUGACAACGCUACUCUACAACGCUGCUACUCACUAAACCCGGCCACUCUUCUGCCACUUCCCAAGGGGGGAGUGGCACAGUACUGGUACAGCCUGGAUAUCAACCCAGAUGCCCGGAUGGAAUUCCAAUUACCUGCUCCUGCAACUCCACAUAAUGUGUUGUGGGACUCCAGAGGCAACAUGGUCCUGCUAGUGCACCUUCCAACAGAAGUAUCCCACCUCUACCGUUAUUGGGAAACAGUUGUCCCACACAUAUCCUGCACCAAGUCCCCUGACUUCUCAUGGAAAGAUCUAGGCCCAAUGGCCAAAUCCUGGAGUGCAAUAACCCAAGGACAGCUUGAAUUAUUGGGAGUAACAAAGAAGAUUAUCAACUGCAGUACAGUUGGAUAUCCUCGAUACCACACAGAGAUCUGUGAAGAUCUCCCUCCCAUGGAACAAGAUGUAGAAGCCCCCCAUGAUUGUUUUGAACAGAUGAAGAUGGAAACUACCCAUUUACCAACCGUACAUGAGACUGCUCUAUCUAAUCCAGACCAGAUACUGUUUGUGGAUGGUUCCAGAUUUGCUGAUGAGCAAGGGCAAUAUCACACUGGAUAUGCAGUUACCACAGAAUGUCAAGUAUUACAAGCUGCCGCACUUCCACCAACCAAAUCAGCUCAGGAAGCCGAGCUAACAGCCCUCACAGUGGCCUGUAAGCUAUCUGAGGGCCUACGUGUUAACAUUUAUACAGACUCAAGAUACGCCCUGGGAGUAGCACACGAUUUUGGCUUAAUUUGGAAAACCAGAGGAUUUCUCACAGCCACUGGUACUCCAGUAAAACAUGGCAUAGCCAUUGAAGAACUAAUGGAUGCCCUAACACUCCCAGUAGAAGUGGCAGUGCCCAAAGUGAAAGCCCACGGGAGGCUGAAUUCAGAAGAAGCACGAGGCAACCACUUGGUUGAUCAAGCCGCCAAGGAUGCAGCACGACAAGGGUGGAAAGUGGACAGAAGAGUGGCCACUGAAGCAACACCCAUUUACACUAUGCAAACAUUACCUACAGAUCUCAGACUCUUAAAGGAACAACAAGCUGCUGCGACCCCCCAAGAAAAACAGAGUUGGAAGAGCAGGGGGGCAUUCUCUGAG